UACGAAGGGGGGCUAGCGUUGUUCGGAAUCACUGGGCGUAAAGGGCGCGUAGGCGGCUUUAUAAGUCGGGGGUGAAAGCCUGUGGCUCAACCACAGAAUUGCCCUUCGAUACUGUAGAGCUUGAGACCGGAAGAGGUAAGUGGAACUGCGAGUGUAGAGGUGAAAUUCGUAGAUAUUCGCAAGAACACCAGUGGCGAAGGCGGCUUACUGGUCCGGUUCUGACGCUGAGGCGCGAAAGCGUGGGGAGCAAACAGG
rnacentral:rRNA from 1 species